rnacentral:lncRNA from 1 species
UUUUAUCCAUUUAUUCAUGUGCAUUUUCAUCAUAUAGAUUAGGACUUAGCCAUGUCUAGGUUGCAUUUUGCAUGCAUAUGUCUCUAUCAGGUAUUUGAGUACCACAUGGAGUUUCUGGAGACAUUUGGGUGCAUUUGGAACUCAAAAGGAGGUGAUUAGAGUGAUCUUUGGACGAGCACUGCCGGAGCGACCUCUCGGAGCGACGGCAUGGGGUCGCUGUGCACCGCAUCCCGGAGCGACUCAUCCAGAGCGACUGCACAAGGUCGCUCGCGUUUUCACGUCUGGAGACACACAUUUACACCUCGGAGCGACCUUCCAGAGCGACGUGCUGAAGUCGCUCCCGAAGCUCAGAGCGACCAUACCAGAGCGACAGGGAGAAGUCGCUCGCGUUUUCAUCACCCGGAGACGCGAGAACGAGCCCGGAGCGACCUCUCGCAGCGACACAGCGAGGUCGCUCCCGAAGCCUGGAGCGACUUGUCGGAGCGACGGGCUGAGGUCGCUCCGUGUUUUGUUUCUGCUCGAACUUGUGAUUUCUCAAGGGCAUUUUGGUCAUUUCAUGAUGCACGUUUUUAUUUUCUAAACCUAUGUUUUAUUACUCUGUAAGCCACCAGGAGGCAGAUCAUCUUUGUUCUUAGAAAAACCACCAAAAACCUUUGGAAAGUGAUCUCUUUGAAUCAAUUGAUCAAUUUUGUUAUUGAAAUUCUGUGUUCCUUUUAUUUUCCUGUAUUUCUCUACAUGAUUAAUCUGAAAUCCAACAUGGGUUUAAGAGGGAUCAUGGAGAUUAGUGAGUAAUCACCUUUUGAAUUCAUGGGUUAGGGAGAUUAAGGGUGAUUAGGUUAGAACUAGGAUGUUUUAGUGUAGAUCAUUCAUAUUUCCUUGCUAGUAGAGUGAACAUAAAGCAUCUUCUGAGUUGGCCACUCAAUUGUUGAUCCUUAGGCAUUUCUCACCCGAAAGGUGUUCGAUGAAAUGCCCGAGACAACUCUCCUAGGCUUUUAGCAUGCUCUGCCAAAGACAUUUGUUGUUAGAGAUGCUAAGAUAGCUAAUAGACUUGUUAGUAAUGAUUGCUUUCAUAUAUUCAACCAAAGACAUUUGAUGUUUGAAUUGUGUUUAGUAAAUGAACAUUCAUCUAGACAUAGAGUUUGUUUAGGAUUGCGUCUAAGCUUAAGGUUAAUAGAUUGAUUGAUCGUUUGCCAUCUUUAGUUCGAAACUUGAUCACCCGAGGUCUAAUCCCUAUAUCCAUGAGUUCUCUUUUCCAAUAGUUAAGAAAGUAUCAUUUAGUUAUUCCUCUUAAUUAGUCAUAGUUUAAAAACCCAUCUAAAUCAUUGGUUGCACUUAGAUUAAGUGAUUACUUGCAUUCUCAGUGCUUUGAUAUCUCUCAGAACUGGUUCGACAAUCUUUUAUACUACAACAUUUGUCUUAGGAGCCUUGAAAACUCCUAACAUCAAAUUGGCGCCGUUGCCAAAUUCUGAGUAGAUUUAAACAUUGAGAUUUAGUCAAUUGCUUGAGACUAAGUCAUUUUUAUUUUCUUUUGUUACUGACUCUUCUUCACCUCCCUUUAAUCUACAGGUGUAUGAACUUGAGGAGUAGGGGUCCAUCAAACCUAGUUCCAAGAGCAGCAGACAUCAGGGUUUUAGAGAGAGAGUGUACUAGAAAGAGAAGAGAAGAAGAACAUCAGGCUCAAUUGCAGAGACUGAACACUGACAUGGGAGACGUCCAUCAAGAAGAUGCAGGCGUCAAUGGCGCUAACAACAAUGGCCCACCUAACCAACAGCGAGCAGCUCGCCCCAUUGGCACUUACGACCGUCCCAACAUUCAUGGUCAUAGAUUGGGAAUCCGAGCACCCGCCGUGGCAGCCAACAACUUUGAGAUCAAGUCAGGACUCCUCAACGUGAUCGAGAACAACAAGUAUCAUGGCUUGGCUCUAGAGGAUCCAUUUGAUCACUUGGACAGGUUCGACAGCUACUGUGGGUUGUCAAAAACCAAUGGUGUGUCCGAAGAUGCCUUAAAGCUCAAGCUAUUCCCUUUCUCUUUGGGGGAUAAGGCACGUCAGUGGGAGAAGUCUCUACCCAGCGACUCCAUUACCACUUGGGAUGACUGCAAGAAAGCAUUCUUGGAGAAGUUCUUCUCUACUUCAAGAACUGCUAAGCUGAGAAACGAGAUCUCCAGCUUUCAACAGAAGGGCUUGGAAGGUUUCAGUGAAGCCUGGGAGAGAUUCAAGGGCUAUCAAGCUCAAUGCCCACACCAUGGUUUCUCUAAGGAGAGCUUGCUGAGCACAUUCUACCGUGGUGCUCUCCCUAAGUACAGAGCCAGACUGGAUACAGCUAGUAAUGGGUUCUUCUUGGGGAGAACUGAGGAGGAUGCAGAGGAGCUGGUUGACAACAUGGUUAAGAGUGAUGCAGUCUACAGUGGAGACCACGACAGAAGCAGUAGAACUGAGGAUAAGCAAACGAGGAAGGAGUUGAAAGCUCUACAGGAUAAGAUAGACAUCCUCCUUGCUGAUAAAGCUACCCAAGAGCAGCUGCACUUUGUCGGCAACCCAAGCCAAGAGACACCAGCUGUUGUCCAUGAAGUUGAGGGUUUGGAAGGUCAGGAAGAGCUGUGUUUCAUCAACAACAAUGGUAGCUGGUACAAGAAAGAACCCAACUUUCAGUACAACAACUACCAACAGAAGUCCUAUUCCAACAACCAGCAGAGUGGUUAUCAGCCUCGGAACAAUCAGCAAGGCAGCUAUCAACCUCAGCAGAACCCUCCUCCUGGUUUCAACAACAAGGGCAACCAUUCUUCCCAACAACAAUCUAAUCCCUCUACCUCCACUCCUCAAGUCAGCAGCACUGAUGCUCUACUGAAACAAAUCCUGGAGUCUCAAACAAGAAGUGAGAAGCAUGUUGGCUAUGAGUUGAAGAAUCUUCACUCAAAGAUUGAUGGGAGCUACAAUGAGCUCAACAACAAGUUCAGAGCUUUGGAGAACCAGUUUGCUGCCAUGAACACUCAACAAAAUCGCCAACAAGGUUCUCUACCUGGUAAAUCUGAGCAAAACCCCAAGGAAACCAUGAAAGCUAUCACUCUCAGGAGUGGUAAGGAGUUACCUCAGAGAACUCUCACCAAGGAUGCUGAGAAACAAAGUGAGGGGGUUGCCAUCACCAUAGAUGAUGAAGUGGUGAUUGUUGAUGAGAAGAUCAAUGACGAGAUCUUGGAAAAGAUAGUGGAAGCAAAAGGAAAAGGAAAGGUUGGAGAAGAGAAGAAAACAGUUAAAGAUGGUGAAGUCGUCACUCCUGCAAGUGAAAACUCUUUUGUUCCUCCUGCUUAUGAACCCAAGCUUCCAUUCCCAGGUCGAUUCAAGAGGCAGCUGCUAGAGAAGUACAAAGCUUUGUUUGACAAGCAAAUGAGUGAAGUCCAAGUCACAAUGCCCAUUAUAGAUGCUUUCAUGCUGAUCCCUCAGUACAGCAAGUUCCUCAAAGAUGCUGUAGCUGCAAAGAAGAAAGAGAUGGAGGGCAUGGUGAUUCUCACUCAUGAGUGCAGUGCUAUCAUUCAGAGACUGGUCAUUCCAAAGAAGCUAGAAGAUCCAGGAUGCUUUACAUUACCUUGUGCUCUUGGACCUAUGGUAUUUGAUAGAUGUCUCUGCGAUUUGGGAGCUAGUGUCAGCUUGAUGCCCCUAUCUGUUGCUAAGAAGCUGGGUUUCACUCAGUACAAGAAGUGUAGACUUUCUCUGGUAUUGGCUGAUCGUUCAGUGAAGUACCCUGUGGGUAUCUUAGAGGACCUCCCAGUGAUGGUUGGAAAUUAUGAGAUCCCUACAGACUUUGUGGUGCUUGAAAUGGGUGAAGAAGCUCAAGAUCCUUUAAUCCUUGGAAGACCUUUCUUAGCCACAGCAGGAGCUAUUGUUAAUGUUAAAGAAGGCAAGAUUGAUCUCCAUCUGGGUAAAGGGCACGUUCUGCAUUUCGACAUCAAGGAAGUAAUGAGGAGGCCAACAGUUCAAGGACAAGUGUUCUACAUCGAAGAGAUGGAUGCCCUUGCUGAUGAACUCCUUGAAGAGUUGUCACUAGAGGACCCUCUACAGCAUGCUUUAACUGUAGAGAAGGAGACUGAGGUGAUUGAGAACCUGGAGAGUACUGCCUAUGGGAUGAUGCUGGAUUCACACCAGGCGUUUUUCAGUAAGGACCAGUACGAGGAGCUUCCACAGAUGGUUCACCAACAAGUCUCAGUCACUCAACGAGAGGACAACCAGCAGGAUGACUGGAGUGAACUAAAGGCACCUAAAGUGGAGCUUAAACCUCUUCCCCAUGGUGUAAGGUAUGCAUUCCUUGGUCCUAAUGAAACUUACCCUGUCAUUGUGAGUAGUGAACUUACUGAGAAUGAGCUAUCUGAACUUUUGAAAACACUUAAAAGAUUUAGAAAGGCAAUAGGUUACUCACUAGAUGACAUCAAGGGGAUAUCACCCUCUUUGUGCAUGCAUAGGAUACAUCUUGAGGAUGAAUCAAUGACUUCUAUCGAGCAUCAAAGAAGGUUAAAUCCUAACCUGAAGGAUGUUGUAAAGAAAGAGAUUCUUAAACUCCUAGAUGCUGGUGUUAUUUACCCUAUCUCAGAUUCUAAAUGGGUAUCACCUGUGCAUGUUGUACCAAAGAAAGGUGGUAUCACUGUGAUCAAGAAUGACAAGGAUGAAUUGAUACCAACAAGAACCAUCACAGGUCAUAGAAUGUGCAUUGAUUACCGAAAACUAAACUCUGCAUCUAGAAAGGAUCAUUUUCCACUACCAUUUAUUGAUCAGAUGCUUGAGAGACUUGCAAAUCACCCAUUCUAUUGUUUCCUUGAUGGGUACUCAGGAUUUUUCCAAAUCCCCAUACAUCCCAAUGAUCAAGAGAAAACGACAUUCACAUGUCCCUAUGGUACCUUUGCAUAUCGAAGAUGCCAUUUGGACUAUGUAAUGCUCCAGCCACCUUUCAAAGGUGCAUGAUGUCAAUUUUCUCUGAUCUGAUUGAGGAUGUUGUGGAGGUAUUCAUGGAUGAUUUCUCUGUCUACGGAUCUUCGUUUUCUGCUUGUUUGUCAAAUUUGUGCAGGGUCCUACAGAGAUGUGAAGACACCAACCUUGUGCUGAAUUGGGAGAAGUGUCACUUCAUGGUCAAAGAAGGGAUUGUGCUAGGACACAAGAUUUCAGAGAAGGGGAUGCUGGCAAUUGUUUUUGCCUUUGAGAAGUUCAGGAGCUACUUGGUUGGGUCUAAAGUCAUUGUCUACACAGAUCAUGCUGCCUUGAGACACCUUCUGGCCAAGAAAGAUGCAAAACCCAGGCUUUUGAGGUGGAUCCUUUUGCUCCAAGAGUUUGAUAUGGAGAUCAAGGACAAACCUGGAGUUGAGAAUGGAGUAGCUGAUCAUUUGUCCAGGUUGAGGAUAGAGUCUGGUGUCCCUAUUGACGAAGGACUUCCUGAAGAGCAGAUCAUGGCUAUCGAAGCAGUAAUAGCAGUUUGUGAGACUGGUAGGAAGCUGGAAGAAGUCAAAGCAACAGAGGAGAAGGAACCUUGGUAUGCUGAUUUGGUGAACUACCUAGCCACAGGAAGAGAACCUUUGAAUCUUGUAGGGUAUGCCAAGAAGAAGUUCUACAAGGAUGUGAAAAGAUAUUACUGGGACGAACCCUACCUCUACAUUCUCUGCAAAGAUCAGCUUUAUAGGAGAGUGGUUGCAAAUUAAGAGAUUGAUGGGAUCCUUGCACAGUGUCAUGGAUCAUCCUAUGGAGGUCACUUCGCCACUUUCAAGACAGUUGCAAAAGUAUUACAAGCUGGAUUCUGGUGGCCACACAUGUUCAAGGAUACACAAGACUUUGUUUCAAGUGUGAUUCUUGCCAAAGAGAGGAAACAUCACCAAGAGGAAUGAGAUGCCUCAAAAUCCAAUCCUUGAAGUUGAAGUGUUUGAUGUCUGGGGUAUUGACUUCAUGGGACCAUUUCCAUCAUCUUUUGGCAACAAAUAUAUCCUUGUGGCUGUUGAUUAUGUCUCCAAAUGGGUGGAAGCCAUUGCAAGCCCCACCAAUGAUGCUAGAGUUGUAAUCAAGAUGUUCAAGAGCAUCAUCUUCCCAAGGUUUGGAGUUCCAAGAGUUGUAAUCAGUGAUGGAGGUUCCCACUUCAUUAACAAACUGCUUGAGGGACUUCUCAAGAAGAACGGUGUGAAGCACAAGGUGGCAACUCCUUAUCAUCCCCAAACAAGUGGCCAAGUUGAGAUUUCUAACAGGGAGAUCAAAUCUAUCCUGGAGAAGAUUGUGGGGAUUACAAGGAAGGAUUGGUCUAAUAAGCUUGACGAUGCACUUUGGGCUUAUAGGACAGCGUACAAGACACCACUGGGUACCACACCUUUCAACCUAGUGUAUGGGAAAGCUUGCCAUUUGCCAGUGGAGCUUGAGUACAAGGCACUAUGGGCAAUAAAGUUGCUGAACUUUGACAUCAAGAGUGCCAAGGAGAAAAGGCUCUUUCAGCUACAUGAGCUUGAUGAGAUAAGAUUGGAUGCUUUCGAGAACUCAAGAAUCUACAAGGAGAAGACUAAGGCUUUCCAUGACAAGAACAUCCUGAAGAGAGAGUUUAAAGAAGGAGACCAAGUUCUUCUCUACAACUCUAGGCUGAAGUUGUUUCCAGGAAAGCUUAAGUCAAGGUGGUCCGGUCCUUUCAAGGUCAAGGAGGUUAGACCAUAUGGAGCAAUAGUUUUGUGGAGCACUGAUGGAAGAGACUUCACAGUCAAUGGACAAAGGGUUAAGCUCUACAUGGCUACUGCACCAGAGGAAGAUGGGGUUUCAACUCCACUGUCUGAUCCUACCCCGGCCUAAUCUAAAAGGAGGCAAAGUCAAGCUCGGGACUUAAAACAAGCUCACUUGGGAGGAAGUCCCAUGCGUAUCCUUGUACAUAUUGCAUUGGAAUUUCCAUUUUUCAUCUUAUUGCAUAAAAAAAAAAAAAAGAAGAGAGAGAAGUUGUGUGCAGGUGCUUGAUCGGUUCAUUUUCAGCAGGAGUCGUGCGUGGGAGUGAGGUCUCACAGCGACACCUCAAGGUCGCUCCAGCUGGGAGCGAGGUUUCGAGAGCGACACUCCAUGGUCGCUCGCGUUUUCGUCGUCGGAUCAAGAAAAAUCGCCUCAGAGCGAGGUCUCACAGCGAGGCCGAAGGGUCGCUCCAGCUGGGAGCGAGAUUAUGGGAGCGACACCUCGGAGUCGCUCGCGUUUUCGACGAAACGGAGCUCAAAAACUGACCCAGAGCGACGUCCUAGAGCGACACCUUCAAGUCGCUCCAGCUCAGAGCGAGCUUUCCAGAGCGACACUCCAAGGUCGCUCGCGAUUUCAUCGACUCACGACGCGAGGAAACGACGCGGGAGCGACCUCUCCCAGCGACACCCUCACGUCGCUCCCGACCCGGUCCAGGUAAGUUUCCUAACUCUAAACCCCGGUUUGAUUCAAGUAAACCGACCCUAGACCACCCUAAACCGAACCGGACGACCCUAAACCUACCCCAACCCUGCGACUCCAACUCUAUCCCUCUCCCCUCCUCUCACAAACUCACAAACUCUCUCAAACUCAUCCACACCAAAAUCCCCAAAACUUUCUCAAUUCUCACCCAAAUCAACUGCUUCUUGUUUCUAAAUCCAAGCUUUCGCCCCUGUAGUCUAUUCCUCACCACCCAUUCACCAUUUCCUUUCAUCCAGAGCAAGGUAUUGAGUUUUAAAAUUCAAAUUCGUAGGUCCAUGAACCCUAGAAUUUGAAAGUCGAAAUUUGGUCCUGUUCUUGCUAGAUUGUGGUGAAAUAGACUAGGGAAAGUUUAUCUAUCAUGUUGGGUUGUUGAAUUAACUGUGAAAUUGAGUUUAAUUUGCACUUUGGCAAAAUUAGGGUUCAUGGAUUUGGGGGUUUUUCGAAUUUGACCUUAAUUGGGUGUGUUUGCGGGUGCACUAGAUGUGUUAAGAUGUUACAUUGUUGCAUUGUGUUGAACUUGAGUUUAAACUGAAAAAUUCAUCUGUUAAGUUCACUCUUGCAAAAUGUUCGCUUGCAAAGUCACUUCCAUCUACUUAUCCCUUUCCAAGUUUGUAACUUUUCAGGUGAAAAUGGUCAGAAAGACAAAGGGCAGGUUGGAAGCUGAGAGGCAAGAAGCCGAAAGUCAAGAGUUUGCACUAAGAGGAAAAGCGUUAACCAGCGAGCCAACUGCCUCAGGGACGCAGAGGACUGUGCGACAGCAGACGUUGGCUGCAAGGAAAUCGAAAGAACAAGAGAAGAGGGCAGGGAAAAGUGUAGCAGCUCCCACCCAUGAGGAAGGUGAAACUGAGAGUGAUGAUGAGCCAGCACCUACGAAGAAAGCCAAGAUGUCAAAGGGCAAAGGGGUUGCUGUUGAUCGAGACAGGGCAAAAACUCCAUCUGUGGAGGAACUGUAUGAUCACUUGAAGAAUGGGGUCACUUGGGCUCCAACCAGGUUCGCCGACCUCGAUUUGCUGAAAGAGUUGGGCCUAGAAUCUGAUAUUGAGGCGAUGCUGGGACAUUUGAAGAUGCCAAAACUCCUCACCAUGGCUCAUCCUUUCUACAAGGAUGUCACUUGUCAGUUCCUAUCCUCUCUUGUGGUCACCUACCACGACACGGCGCAUGUGAGGCAAGGAUGGGGAAAAAUCACGUUCAAGGUCAAUGGAAGGGAAUACAACAUGAACUUCAAAGACAUUGGGAGGGUCAUGGGGUUCCAAGACCUAGAAGACCACUCACUUCCCAAGUGUGAGAACCUCCCCACAGAGCUUUGGAAGUUGAUCACUGGAAACAGGCACUCUACCGGGGCUGACAAGAACUCACACAUCCGACACCCGUCUGUACGCUACCUCCACAGAUUGCUAGUCCAUGCUUUCUACCCACGGAAGCAAGCUGGUAAUGUUACUGAGGAAGACAUGCGACUGCUCUGUCCGGCUAUCCGUCCUUACGCUCAACCUGGAGUGUUACCCCUUCCCAGCACUGAUAUCUAUGCUACCUUUGGGAUGGUCAGUUUCUUUGUGGGCCGUCUCGAACACUACAGAGACUGGGCGUGGUACACCACUGAUUCGCGCCCAAAGAUGGGGAUAGGCGGAAUGAUCACACCACUGCUCCAAUUUCUGAAUGUUCCCUUGGGAAAGGACGCAGCGGGGCCUAGGUUCAUUGAUGGCACCUACUUGAGGAUUGCCACCUAUUUCAGUGGGAUGUAUGGGAAGGACUACGUCUACCACUACUACUUGCAGGGCAAGCCAGUCGAGGUGGUUCUUCCAAACCGGAACCUGACGAGUUUAGAGAUACCAGGAGCUGUCAGCUUCAACAUUCCCCAGGAGUACUUUCUCGGAGAACACGGGCCUCUCGAUCCAAUUCAAGCAGCUUCAUCAAGGAGAAGGAGUGUCCCUACGCAACCUGACCCGCCUGUUGCAGACACGUCUGAGCAUAUCUAUGGACCUCCGCGCUACUACUUCAAGCCCCAUGACGGAGUCCUUCCCCCUGGAGCUCUCCGUGAUGCUCAUGACCACAUUGGUCGUCUCCAGAGGUGGAACAAAGCUCAGGACAGAACGAUAGAAAAGCUGAAGGAUAAGUGCAAGGCGCUCAGCAAGACUGUGAAGAAGCAGGCAAAGACUUCAGCCAAGUUCAUGAAGAAAGUAGCUGAUGUCUUAACUAGGGGAGGAAUAGCUGGAUGUAGCUCAGCCGAUUUCGCUUUCGCGAACACCUCAAACCCCCAGCCCCCACCCCCGCCUGAUGCUCUUGGCUUCCCCCUCACUGCUGCGCAGCUUCAGCGUAAGUGGAGGAACCCACCCACUCAGCCUUCCACUUCCGGCAACAAAUCCCCAUCCCUCGCUUCUUCUGACAGUGAGCACGAGAUUGACGAGGUUGAGAGCCAGCCAUGGUAUGGAGGCUCCGGUUCAGCAUCCGGUGGUUACUACACCACCUUCCCUCCUGACGACGACGAUGCUGGGGCAUCUGCCCCCACCUAUUAUCCAUAGGAGGUACUUCUUUCUCUCCCUUGUAUAUACCAUUUCAUUUUUGCAUAUUAGUUUUCUUCUCGGUAUCUCCUUCUUUCUUUGACAACACAGAGACUGUGUAACUCAAGUUUGGGGGAGGUACCAAGCAUUUGAUCAUGUUUGCUUUGAUUGUGUUUCAUUUGAGUCAUGCAUUGCCACACCUAUUUGCAUUUAAAAAAAAAAAAAAGAUUUUUCAUUUAGUUUGCAUCAUUUGCACCAUUAGGAGAGUCUAGAGCAUAUAGGUUGCAUUCACUUGCAUUGGGAGCAAUGAUUUUAAAUGCCUUGUAAAGAACACUACGUUGCACCAUUGAGUAGCCAUGCACCUCUCGAAAAGACUUGUAUGUUUCGAGCCUUGAAAACUCUUCUUGAAACUUGUUGAUUGCUGAAACUCAGUCUUUGAAGCCAACUACAACCUUAUUAGAAAUGAAUGAACUUAAUGCUUCUUGCUUAGGGUCCCUUGUGUACUGAGUCAUGGCUAUACACACUGGAGUUGUCACAUCUUUUAUGCCAAUCUUUUUGACAAACUCUAGUGGUAGACCACUCCCAAAACCUUUCCUUCCUUUUAAGCUUUCAUUGUUUGAUGAGUGAGGCCUUCUUCGGAAAGUCUUACAUGCGCAUAAUGUUGAGAGUAUCGGGAACGACAAUGCUUGAUCUUCAUUUUUGCUAGAUUGGACACUCUAUUGUCUAGCUAUAGGUGGGAGGGUGAGUGUUGUGAUCAUGAUUUGGGAGAAAUAAAAAAUAAAAAGGAUAGACUCUUUGUGCUUAAGUGAAUUGAUUUUCUGGGAUAAGUAGAGAACCUCUAGCUCUAGUUUUGAAAAGUCUUGGCCCCCAACCUAAAAAAAAAAUAAAAAAAAAAAAAGAAAUCGAAAAAAAAAAAAGAAAAGAAAGAAAAGGGGGCUAGCAAAGUUGUUAAGAGCUAAGAAAUGUUUUGAGGUUGUAGAAAAAUCCCUUGUAGAUUUCAAAAAGAAAGAGUUAAAGUUCUUAAGAUCUUUUGGUGAGAGAUGUGAGUUGGGUUUGACAUUUGGGAAUGAUUGUGUAAUGGUAUGUUUGGGAAAAGGGUAGAACAAUGGAGAUUGAGCAUUGUAUGCAUGAGUUGGUCCCUUUCUUAGAUAUAUUAUGUGCAAUGUCAAGGCUACUUGUUUUGAGAGUAAAUCACCUUAAAGAUCAUAUGUUUUGAACCUCUUGAAUCACUUGAAUAAAAGCCUUCCCUUACCCAACCAAGUGACUUGGACCAACGGACCAUUUGCAAGAAUUCACCUGAUGUUUUGUGCUUAAUGAAUGUGAGAGUUGGUUGAUUUGAAUGUGUGGAUGCUUGAUGAUGAGUGUAGGGACAAAAGGAUUUGAGAUAGGCCUAGAGAAGCUAGAGUGUAAUAAGAGAGUGUGCUAAUUAUAUUUGCUAGUUGUGUUUCUUUUGGCUAUUUGAGCUCCUCCCACCUUCAAACCUCUCUCCUUGCAAGUUCUAGAAAGUUCACUUGAGGACAAGUAAAAGAACAAGUUUGGGGGAGUUGAUAUCUUGCAUAUUUACAUUGUUUUAUCCAUUUAUUCAUGUGCAUUUUCAUCAUAUAGAUUAGGACUUAGCCAUGUCUAGGUUGCAUUUUGCAUACAUAUGUCUCUAUCAGGUAUUUGAGUACCACAUGGAGUUUCUGGAGACAUUUGGGUGCAUUUGGAGCUCAAAAGGAGGUGAUUAGAGUGAUCUUUGGACGAGCACUGCCGGAGCGACCUCUCGGAGCGACGGCAUGAGGUCGCUGUGCACCACAUCCCGGAGCGACUCAUCCAGAGCGACUGCACAAGGUCGCUCGCGUUUUCACGUCUGGGACACACAUUUACACCUCGGAGCGACCUUCCAGAGCGACGUGCUGAAGUCGCUCCCGAAGCUCAGAGCGACCAUACCAGAGCGACAAGGAGAAGUCGCU